AGAAGCUACUGUGAGGGCUGUUGAAUUUUUCUCCAAAGCUCAGAUGCCCAGUAUUCCUAGUCUUCGAAAGAGAGAGAGGAAGAUUGAGAGAGAGAGAGAGAGAGAGAGAGAGAGAAGAAGUUUUCUUAAUCAGAGAUUUCUCUUUACUUUCAACUAAUUGCAGAUGCUGAUCUUCUGGACAAUCACACUUUUCCUGCUGGGAGCAGCCAAAGGAAAAGAAGUUUGCUAUGAGGACCUCGGGUGCUUUUCUGACACUGAGCCCUGGGGCGGGACAGCAAUCAGGCCCCUGAAAAUUCUCCCCUGGAGCCCUGAGAAGAUCGGCACCCGCUUCCUGCUGUACACCAAUGAAAACCCAAACAACUUUCAAGUGAGACCUCUGUCAUUUAAAUGUCACUGUAACUGGCACGGGGCUAUGCCCACCCUGCAGACCAUGAAUACCUUAUCUCUGUGCCCUCUUCCUCCACCAUGCCCCACCCCAUCCCUCAAGCUGCCCCCCAGACCUAGCUAGACCUAGACAGAGCAGGUCUUUAGUAAUGUUGGCUUGAAUGAAUGAAUGGUUCACAUUUGCCAGAACCUCUAGCUAC
rnacentral:lncRNA from 10 species